CCUCCAUAUAUGUGGCCUUCUCUGUCCUUAAUUAUCAAGAUUGUUGGCCCUUCGCUGUUGCUGCAAUUCCAAGCAGAAACAUUAGUCAUUACUCCCCCAUUCAAAGUUUAGAAUCUCUGUGAGAAAAGAAGGGAAAGGUACGAAACUGGAGAGAGAUUUGCCAUGUCAGAAGAAUAUUUAAUUUCUAGAAGUACGGAGACGAUUACAAAAUAAUCAUAGAUCAAUACAUGUCAUAAAAGCUGGGUGCAGUCUUUUCACUGCCACUUUUGCUUGUUGUACUUGCUCAGAAAA